UUACGGCCAUAUCACAUUGAAACAUCGGUUCCCGUACGAUGACCGAAGUUAAGAAACAUCAAGACGUGCCUGUAGCUAGAUGGGUGACCGCUCGGGAAUACCAGGUGCUGUAAG